UUUCCGUAGGUGAACCUGCGGAAGGAUCAUUAUUGUAUAACCGAGGUGCGAGGGCUGUCGCUGACCCGAAAGGUCGUGCACGCCCGAGGGCCCUCACACACAUCCAUCUCACCCCUAUGUGCACCACCGCGUGGGUCCCCCUUUGGCUUGUUCGGAGGGGGGCUUACGUUUUCACACAAACUUUGUAUGCAGUGUAGAAUGUAUUUUUUGUGUUUGCGAUCACGCAAUCAAUACAACUUUCAACAACGGAUCUCUUGGCUCUC
rnacentral:misc_RNA from 1 species